CGUUAUGUAAAGCCUAAUGGUUAAGGCGCUAGAUUUCGGCUCUAGAGAUUGGGAGUUCGAAUCUUCCCUGGGUCG